CCGCAUCCCCUGAUAGACCUGAAGCAGGACCACUUUGGCUUCUGGGUUUGCAUCCGGAUGCAAGAUCCAACUCCCUCUUGCACUCCUGUCUGCCGGAGUGGCAGGGUGGGUUUCAUCAAGGGAAACACUC